UGGGGAAUUGUUCGCAAUGGGCGCAAGCCUGAUGACGCAACGCCGCGUGGAGGAUGAAGACCUUCGGGUUGUAAAGCUCUUUCGGCGGGGACGAAAUGGUUCGUGCCAAUACCACGGACUGAUGACGGUACCUGAAGAAUAAGCACCGGCUAACUACGUGCCAGCAGCCGCGGUAAUACGUAGGGUGCAAGCGUUAAUCGGAAUUACUGGGCGUAAAGCGUGCGCAGGCGGUUAUGCAAGACAGGUGUGAAAUCCCCGGGCUUAACCUGGGAACUGCACUUGUGACUGCAUAGCUGGAGUACGGCAGAGGGGGAUGGAAUUCCGCGUGUAGCAGUGAAAUGCGUAGAUAUGCGGAGGAACACCGAUGGCGAAGGCAGUCCCCUGGGCCUGUACUGACGCUCAUGCACGAAAGCGUGGGGAGCAAACAGGAUUAGAUACCCAAGUAGUCCCUGAGCGGGCUGGCAAGGCGCAU
rnacentral:rRNA from 1 species